CAAAUUUAGAUUUCCUCCCUUAUGAUGUUUCUUCGUAAGGAAUUAAACAAAAGUAGAAUUCUCUCCGAGACAACUGUCGUCUGAGCAGAAUGAUGUCAGCGAUUCACUUGUGCGGCAAGAUCUCUUGGACCUUGGUGUAUCUGGAGAAAAAUGGCCAUAAUAAGCAAAACCAAAGAGUGAAAUAUGUUUAAAAAAACCUCACGUAUGCUGGAUUUCAUCUGAUGUGGUUGUAGCAACGACAAGAAGUGAAACCUUUUGCAAAAGGUAGCUGGGUCCCACAAGCUCACUGAAACUGCGUUAAAACAGAUUUGAAUUUUGUGCAUCACAACACAAGCUGCGUUUUUGCUCCAUGGCCUCUAUCAGCAUGCUAUUCGGAUGUUAAAGGCAGUUGUGCCAUUACUACAAAGUAAAGCUUCUGCAUCUGCUGAAGUUAUCCAGCCUGUCUCUACAAGAAUUAUUCUGCAAGAAUUUAUUUUGCUUUCAAUCAGCCCGUCUCCAUAGCCAAAUUGUCUGGUUUUCCACUUCAGCGACACAUGGUUUCCCUCUCUUACCCCCCCCCCAGACUUCAAUGCCUCCAAUCUCACCGGUCAGGGACUUUAAACUCUCAAGGUGCCACCACGGCAUACUUAUCAGGAGCCGGUAAAGUGUCAUGUACUAGAGACAGACCGGCAAUAAAGACAUGGACUGGACUGGGCUCUGUGAUGAGGCCGCGAUCUGUCUUCCUUAAGCCAUUAUAAUGUAUCCAACUGAGUCUUUUCCUUA